rnacentral:rRNA from 1 species
UACAGAGGCCUCGAGCGUUAGGCGGAAUCACUGGGCUUAAAGCGUGUGUAGGCGGACUUCUAAGUACCUUGUGAAAUCCCACGGCUCACCCGUGGAACUGCUUGGUAUACUGGUUGUCUUGAGCCUUCUAGGGGCGAGUGGAACAAAUGGUGGAGCGGUGAAAUGCGUAGAGAUCAUGAGGAAGACCAGUGGCGAAGGCGGGUCUCUGGACAGUUCCUGACGCUGAGGCACGAAGGUCAGGGGAGCAAACGGG